rnacentral:tRNA from 1 species
GCGAGAGUGGCGGAAUUGGUAGACGCACUAGAUUUAGGAUCUAGCGCCCUCAGGGCGUGGGGGUUCAAGUCCCCCCUUUCGCA